GAGAAAUUCCAUAAAAACCUCCUUGAACUAACAAUCUCACUCCAUCUUUUACACACAGAACCUGCUCUAAAGAUGCUAGCAAUAGGAAGAAAUGCUAGAAUCCGUUCCAACAGAUCAUCAGGCAGGAUUAAAUCCAAAGAAACUGCAUUAAUUUCUUUACUGCCUUCAUCACUAAGCUCUGAGAAUGAAUCAAACUCACCAAUGCCUCUUGCUACAUCAUCAAAGCAAUCAUUGAUCCAUGAUGUUUCUCCCUCCAUGAUGAAGGAGAGUGAAGAACAGGCCUCGUUUUAAGCCACCUCCAGGGACAGUACCCAAGUGGGUGAGGCUAGAUUUAUAGAGGACGAGAAAUGGCGAAAAGAGAAACAGAAUAUAAUGAUUAAAAAAAAAAAAAACUCCAAACUCGCUAUUAGAGGAAAGUAUUAAAGAACAUAGAGACCAAAACGAAAUGGGCUAUGGUGAAGAUAUUUUCUUCAAAUGGUAGAUAACUUUGACAUGGUCAGUCCAGAAUUGGCUGGUAAACAAAGCCUAAGCAACCCAUUUGAGAGAAAGAGA
rnacentral:misc_RNA from 1 species